UUGGUGUGCUGUUUAGCAGAGGAACAUUGU
rnacentral:piRNA from 1 species